UUGCACCUUAAGAUCUGAGGGUAUCCAGCUUAUGUCAAGUAUUUAAAGACAGAUAAGCUUGGAUCUAAGUCCGAUAAUUAUUCGUAGGCUACCCAAAGAAAACUAAAAGGUACUACUUCUAUCUCACUGAAGAUCAAAAGAUGUUUGUCAACAACAGGACAGUCUUUUUGAAAAAAGAGUUUCUUAGAGAAGGAACUAACGUCUAUAAAAUUAAACUUGAUAAAGUUCAAGAGAUGGAAGGACUGACACAUACAAAAAUAAAUUUGAUUGGAUAAUCGAAUCCAGAGCUAGUAGAGGCACCAUUGAGGAGAUCUGAUAGAGUAUCACGUCAGUCGGACAGUUAUUAUAAUUUUUUGAUUCAGGACAGUGAUCCCAUCGAACUAGAUGAGAAUGAUGAAGAUCCGGUCACCUAUAUGGAAGCUAUGUAAAGAUCCGACUCUCAGAAAUGACUAGAAGUCAUGAAGUCCGAGAUGGAGU
rnacentral:lncRNA from 1 species